rnacentral:tRNA from 1 species
CCUUCGAUAGCUCAGUUGGAAGAGCGCGAGACUGUAAUUGGAAACACAGAGCAUCUUGAGGUCGCUGGUUCGAUCCCGGCUCGAAGGA